GGUGAUAAGAUUCGAACAUUGAAUUCAUGAAGCACAGGUGAUGUAUUAUUGUUGUGUGAUAGCUUGGUUCGAGAAAUUGGUUAGGUAAAUGGUAAGUGAAAGCAUUUAUGGAUAUAGAAGAAAAUUUGGAGUGAAUAUGAAAUUUAGCUCAAUUAAAUGAUUUCAUCAAUUAAACAUUGUGUAUACCAGAAUGUGUUAGUGAAUUACAUAUUCG
rnacentral:lncRNA from 1 species